UACAGAGGUGGCGAGCGUUAUUCGGAAUUAUUGGGCGUAAAGGGCGCGUAGGCGGCCACGCAAGUCUUGGGUGAAAUCCCUCGGCUCAACCGAGGAACUGCCUUGGAAACUGCAUGGCUCGAGGCCGGGAGAGGGUAGCGGAAUUCCCAGUGUAGCGGUGAAAUGCGUAGAUAUUGGGAGGAACACCGGUGGCGAAGGCGGCUACCUGGACCGGUUCUGACGCUGAUGCGCGAAAGCGUGGGGAGCGAACAGG
rnacentral:rRNA from 1 species